ACCCCAGUUGGGUCCCAAGAAGUUAGGGACACACACCCAGGUCUGAUCAGAGGGUGUAUUAGGGACGCGGUCCUGGGGUCUCCACCCACGGUUCCAAGGUUCACCUGUGGCUGAUCUGACACACCUGCUCUUCAUGUCACUAAUGGAGUGGAGUUAUAAGGCAGUGAAAAACUCUCAGUCAGCACAAGACUUUGGCAGUGAUAAACGUCUGUAGGCGUCUCUGGAUAAUGCGAGUG